AUCUUCAAAAUCUCACUCACUCGUCUUUUUUUUUGUUUGGGGUACAGAAUCCAACUCUUGAGCAUUACACAACGUACAAAGCGUCCGAUCUAAAAGAAUCAGUGCACGCCUUGCAAGAUCUACAGCUUAACACCAAAGGAUGCCCCUUAAACUCUAUACGCAUGAAGUAUAGACAAGACAAGUACAAAUCGGUGGCGGUAUUCAGUUCUGCGAAGCUACCUGAGAAGCUAUUCAUCUCCUAACACAAGAGAUAACUGUAACAACAAACAACAUUUGUGAUCGUCCGGAUCAUUCAUCAUCAUUCUGUUAAAUAAAAAAGCAGUGUUCUUUCUUUCCACGGUCUAAUCAUACCAAGUAACCGGACUACCUACUAGUUAGAGUUCGGUUAUAUUCCGGUUUAGUUUAGACUUGUUUUGGUUCUUCCAAACCUGAUUUGUACUGAUCGGUAAAACGAGUUUUUUUUUUUUUUUUUAAUUGUAAGUGGGAUCGAUCGAUGUACAUUUCUUUUUCCUAUAUCAGACAGUAAUUUUCUGGUCGUAUA